UAAGCAUAUCAAUAAGCGGAGGAAAAGAAACCAACAGGGAUUGCCCUAGUAACGGCGAGUGAAGCGGCAACAGCUCAAAUUUGAAAUCUGGCUCUUUUAGAGUCCGAGUUGUAAUUUGCAGAGGGCGCUUUGGCUUUGGCAGCGGUCCAAGUUCCUUGGAACAGGACGUCACAGAGGGUGAGAAUCCCGUACGUGGUCGCUGGCUAUUGCCGUGUAAAGCCCCUUCGACGAGUCGAGUUGUUUGGGAAUGCAGCUCUAAAUGGGAGGUACAUUUCUUCUAAAGCUAAAUAUUGGCCAGAGACCGAUAGCGCACAAGUAGAGUGAUCGAAAGAUGAAAAGCACUUUGGAAAGAGAGUCAAACAGCACGUGAAAUUGUUGAAAGGGAAGCGCUUGCAGCCAGACUUGCUUACAGUUGCUCAUCCGGGUUUUUACCCGGUGCACUCUUCUGUAGGCAGGCCAGCAUCAGUUUGGGCGGUAGGAUAAAGGUCUCUGUCACGUACCUCCUUUCGGGGAGGCCUUAUAGGGGAGACGACAUACUACCAGCCUGGACUGAGGUCCGCGCAUCUGCUAGGAUGCUGGCGUAAUGGCUGUAAGCGGCCCGUCUUGAAACACGGACCAAGGAGUCUAACAUCUAUGCGAGUGUUUGGGUGUCAAGCCCGAGCGCGUAAUGAAAGUGAACGGAGGUGGGAACCCGCAAGGGUGCACCAUCGACCGAUCCUGAUGUCUUCGGAAGGAUUUGAGUAAGAGCAUGGCUGUUGGGACCCGAAAGAUGGUGAACUAUGCUUGAAUAGGGUGAAGCCAGAGGAAACUCUGGUGGAGGCUCGCAGCGGUUCUGACGUGCAAAUCGAUCGUCAAAA
rnacentral:rRNA from 1 species